rnacentral:lncRNA from 10 species
CAUUUCCAGGCUGGUCUCUGUGGUUUUUAUUAGUGUUUCCUGGGACCCAUCAAACAAAUAAACAUAGCUUAAAGGGAAAGAUUUCUGAUUUUUUUUAAAUAGUAGCAAUAGAGUUGUUUCCACAAAUUGUCAACCCAGGAGCCAGAUGGAAAGAAAAACAAGAAUUAUGCAGAUAACUACAGAAAGAUUAAUCCCAAUUUAGUUAAACUUGUGAAGGCUUGUACGUUUCAGAGGUUCAUAAGACACAGUCUCAACAGGAGUUUUUUUUAAUAAAUGCUCUAUCUCUAGUUCCAGAAACUGAAUUCCAAGAAGCUACACUGAGGAUAAUUCAGCUCUGAUAUUGUGAUUACUGUGAUGUUCUUUCAUUCAUACAGUAAGUAUCUGCCCAAUACGUAACUACCGAGAUCUAUUGCUUCCUACAUAAUUAGACAAGCUCCUCACACAUAUGGGCCCAUGCCGUGCACAUAGCAGGCACUCAACAAGUGUUUGCUUAACUACAGAAGAAUAAUAUAAUUGCCUUCCUUCUUAACUGUUUUACCUUUUUCUAUACUUGAUAUAUUUGAAAAACAACAUGCUUGCAAAACUAAAAUCUAACAUGCAUUACUAACUUUAUCAAAAGAUCCCUCAGUAUUUUUCAAAAAGGAAAAAAAUAAUAAAAACCAAUCCCCCAAAUACUAAAACUUAGAACUGCUUUACACUUAAAUAGCAAUUUACAUCAUAUUAACAUAUUCAUAAUCUUCAUUGGUUAAAACAGGUCAAAGGUUUAUUACUGGCUUCUCAUACCAGAUAAGUCUCACAGUUCCCAAUAAGGCAACAGAAUCCUCAUCCAACAUAUAUUGACUUGUGGAACCCAACGGCCUGUUUUGGUUUCAUUUCAGCGCAAGUAGAAGGCAAAAUAAAGAGUCUCACAGUAAAAUGUUCAUAGUAGAUAAUAUGUCCUUGAAGGUUGUGCCGUUGUGCUCUUAUUCCACUGAAGAAAUGAUUCACAUCCCAAUUAUAGAUAUGGUCUCCCAAUCAGAGGAGUCUUUUAGAAGACAUUCAUUCAUUCAUUGAACAAAUAUGUGUUGUGUACUUGUCCCAUGCUAGGUAACAGGAAAAUAAUAGUGAUUGAUAAGACAUAGUCCCUGUCCUCAAAGAGCUAACAGUCUAGCAAGGCAGGAACUUUGAGAAAAGACCAAUGUGUUCAAAGGAAAACUCACAACCUGGGUCUCCCUUCUCAGAUGGCACAUUCAAGAAACUGUUGCUUAUGCCCCUGGGAGCCAGAGCCUUACUUAAGUCUUACCAAGUCAAAUAUCUAUCAGCCUCAGAUGAUUUGAGCCUGGUAAAGUCUUAGCAAUAGAUUUGCUGCCUCAUGUUCCCAUGAAAACCUAAUAAGAGAGAGCCCUUUCAACUCAGGCAUACGGGGGGUUUAAGGAUAACAUGUUUAGUGACCAUGUGGACAUUCAGCACAGGUGAGCUUCUCAAGUGAGAGCCAUGUGUCCCCAAAAGAAAGGAGGGUUUAUCCAUAAGACUUUGCUCUCCCUUUCAACACUGUGGUGGGAAGUACUCUGUUACCACCCCAAGUUGGCAUAGCUCGAUUACUUUAAGUUCUCCAAGUCACGAACAGCACAUAGAAAAUGCAGCAAACUCAAGUCAAGACAAUAGAGAGAUAUGCUGAGAACUUAAUACUCAAGCCUUAAUCAGGCAAAGUCAGAGAAGGAACCACAGUGAGAGAAUUGGCAGAUGCCCCUAAUAAAAUCACACAACUCAGACACACACACAGACACACAAAUAUUCAUGCGUUAUACCCAUUCAAGUAACUGGAUAUUUAAUUCAUUCUAUGCAAUGAACAGUCAAAUGCUGGGAAGGCCCCAUAGUUCUUUGGCCUUCUUGUAAAGCAACAUAUGUCUUUUCUGCAGGAAUGUCUGAGUUGCACAGUCAAGAUCGUUGCUGUUCAUUGUUCUUUUUCUCAGCUCUUUCAGUAACUGUUACUUGACAACACUAAGUUAAACCUUUACAGAAGUGACCAAGCCAGGCAGAAAUAAAAAUGGAUUUGGUU